AGAAAAAAUCAUCGUUUAAUUUAUUUAUUAUAUCAGAUCUGAAAUUAAAUCGUCUCUCCUCCUCUUUCAGCCACCACCACCAUCACCGCCUCUGCCACCAUAACCACCUUUGUUACUACCACCGCCUCCGUCAUCACAAUCCAACAGAUUAAUACCCGAGAAAACUAGUUGAUUAUUUUUGGUUCAUUUGAGAGAGAUAUUUUCAGAGGCGAUUUGAAAUUUUGGGAGAGAUAUCUUCGUCUGAAAUCAAUUAAAUUUUCGAGAUCGAACUACAUAGUCAUCAUCAACAGUUUCAUCUUCUUCUUCUCAAACUAAUUGUCGAAUUAGGUUUUCGAAUUUGUUUUCCAGUAAUUGUCGAUUUGUGCAUGUUUGGUUUAUUUGAAGCUUAAAAACUAAUCAUUCAUAUAAUUUUUUGUAUUCGAUUUCAACUGAUUUCGCUCAAUUUGUUUAUCUAGAGGCUCAUAUCUCUUCAAUUUUUCAGGUUGGUAAGGCAUAUGAAUAUGAAAGAAGGUGGAGGAGGUAAUUUAUAGUAUGGUGCAGGUACUGGAGAGGGUUGUGGAGGAGGUGGUGAUUUUUAGUAGUUAGGAGCAGGUAUUGGAGAUAGUGGAGGUGAUUUGUAAUAUGGAACAUGUACUCUAUAUUUUCGAUAUUUAACUUCAGGUAGAAGUGUCAUACACUCAAUUUUAGGUCUGCAAUUCAUUUCUUAAACUAAGUCUUGGUUGUUUGCACUUGAUCAGAGUGUUUCUUUCAAGUUGAUAUAAAGCAAGAGUUACAAAAAGCAUGUGUACUAGAUAGUUGAUAGAGCACGAUUUGUCUAUUUGUUAUGGAAACCAUGCUUACUAAGAGAAGUCGACGCCCCACAAUGUUUGUGAAUAUGAUUAAUCGAUGAUAAACCGAUCAAAAAAAAAUGAUUAAUCGAUGAUAACAAAUAGUGAUGCCAGUUUGCUUAGUAUCUCCACUUAUGCAUAUGAUUAUCUUAAACUAAUAAUGUUGAUGGUUGCAUCACUUACAAAUGACUAUCUUAAACUAAUAAUGUUGAUGGUUGCAUCACUUACAGUGUCUAUGGUAAAUGUAUAUGUUAUUGGAUUUAAGUUGUUGCGAGUUAUGACCAUCAUCUUCAAUGCUUCAUAUUAUUUCAAUUGAGCAGUUGCGAAGGAUUACAAAGUUCAAGUAUCUCAAAUUACCUUGAGAUUCAUCCUUUUUAGGUCGGGAAAGGGACUUGUUGCAUGCCUUUCGAGGUUCUUACGAACCAUCCAUUUUUGCCAUUCGUGUUACACCACGUCAAAUUUAUUAAAUUAUAUCAGUUCAAGUGUUUUGGUGACUUUUAUUGUCUCAUAGAGUAGAAUUGAAAGGUAUAUUUUUACUUGAUUUUCUUUAUUGUCUCAUAUUGAAGAGACUGGAGGCAGUUGAAUUCUCAAAUGUCCUGUACAAGAACUCUUUGGACGGAGACCAAAUGUUGUCUAAAAAGGUAUUGUUACGAGACAUGUUCUAUAAUGCAAAGAUUACUGCCGGUCGACUACAUUUGGCUAAAGACUUGCUAAAUCUUCCAAUCGAAUCUCUCAAGUCUUUUGUGGGCACCAAAGAUGGACUUGGCAUCGUUAACUCAUGGAUUCUGGUACAUUUUUGUCCUUGUAUUCCUCCUUUUUAUUCUUGUUUUGUAUACCCUUAUGUAUUAUAGAUUAAUACAUUUUGGAGAAACUUAUCUUGAAUCAUCUGUUGCAUUCGUAAACAAAAGUCAAUGCGUAAUGCCAUAGUGACCCUAUCUAUCAAUAAUUAUCUUGAAUAUGCGUGUUUAACAUGACAUGAUACCAAUAUAUGGGGAGCUGGUGAUUUUGUAAUAGUAGUAUUAGUGAAUUUAGCAGGAGUAAUGGAAGGAGCUGAUGAAUCAUUACUCGCUGGUACUAAGUUCUGUUGGGACCACCAAUCGGAUUUCAGCGCACUGUGAGAAAGUAGCUUUGGUCAUGGAAACCUACAGGUUGUUGACACCACAGCGGUGGCGGCAGACAGGUGGCGGUGGUGGACUGGCGGCGACGCGGUGGUGGUAGACUGACAGCGGUGGCAGACUGAUGGUGAACUGGUGGUGGUGGUGGAUAUGUGGUGGUGCUAGCGGUGGUGGAAGUUGUGGUGGUGGCGGUGAAGUGGUAGAAAAAGAAAUUUGUGUUGUAUCUUGAAAUAAAGAGAAAUAUUUUACGGAUAAGGGUAUUAGUGUAAUCUGAUUUUAAAUAGAGAAAAAAAUUAAAUGAUAUGGGUAUAUUUAUUGUUGUA